rnacentral:lncRNA from 1 species
AUCCAAUCAUUAAGAAAUCAGUUGGAAGAAUCGUGAAGAAGCAGUUGUGAGACCCCUUUUUCCUUCUUCCAAAACCCUUGGAGCUAAGAAAGAAAGAAUAAUAGGAAAGAGCUCCAAAAACCAGCUCACACAAAAACAUCACAAACCACUCGAAAACACCAUGAAAUUCAUCUUUUAAUCUCUGUAAGCUUACUCUCAAUUGUUGUCGAGUUAGAAGUGGUCCAGACGAUCGAGCUUCGGUCGGUGGUCUUAUUGUUGGUGUAAAGUUGCGAAUUACCCUUUGUUUUCCACCGAAUUGAGUUAAUUGAAGGAAUUUUGGCUAUAAAGGUACAUUUUAUUACAUCUUAGUUUACUCACUAGAUAUACAUUAUUUGAUGUUUAAAUGAUAGAUUUACAGAGAUUCAAGUUUAAUUAUUAAUAUUCACUGUGAGGUUUUUAGUUCUAGAAUGAUAUUGUCAUGAUUUCUUUAUUUUUCCUAGCAAUUAAUCCACUUUUAAACAUAAACUUAAGAGUGAAGUGACGUUCAUGAUGCUUUAUUUUGAUAAAUAUGAGUUGUUGGAUUUAUUAGAUAAUGGCAAAAAAACAAAAAAAAAAUGGAUUCAAAGCAUAUCCAGAACUCUAGUAAUUAUUAUUUGAUUGUAAAAUAAUGGUUAUAUUCAAAUAUUUGGUAGACUGAGAUGAAUUAACGUGGAGGUCUUAAGGCAUAAUUGGCGAAUAUAGUACAUUGCUCUUUCCUUCUAUUCUGUUUUGGUUAUUCCUGUGAUAUCUUUUAAUUACAAUAUUUGACAUUUUUGUCUUGUCGUUUGGUAUGAGAUACCUCUUAUAAUUUUGAACGUCGUCAUUGGGUUGUGGUUGUCUUUGAAAAAAAUCUGAUUUGGAUAUGUGAAUUUGGGUUAAUAUAUUUGUUUAAGGCUCGAGUCAUUAAUUUAAUGUGAGGAUUGGGGGAGAUAGAUUGCGAUUUUGUUCGAGACCUGUUAUAAUUGAGAAAAGAAAAGAGAGGAAAAAUCAAUUCGUAAGGAAGUGAGGCGAGUUACAAAUUAAUUCAAGACUUGUUGUAAAUUUGAAUAAAAAGGAGUGAAAAGAUAGAAUAAUGGAUAAAAAAAAAAUGGUCUCAAAUUUGCAAGAGACGAACAAAUACCUUUAAUGCUAGAUGAGCUUUAGUCACGAUAAAAAUCUAAUUUUGAUUGAGAAUGCGGUUACGUAUCUUUCUUGAUACGCGUAAUAACAAAUAAAGAAAUUUGAGGAUGAAGUCACGCACCUUGAUAAAGAUUGUCUCAAUAAUUAAGAAGACACAUAGAUAAAACCUCAUAAGUAUGAUGCGUUUGAGAGAAGAGCGCAGUUAUGUCUGAAAACUGAAUGUAUGUCAACACUUAGAAUGCAGUUAUGCAUCUAGGUCGAGACAUAAAGUUCAAAAUUAAAAAUGAGAAAAUCAAUGGCCCGUAACACAACUUACCAAAAAUAGUCAAAAGAUGAGUAUAAGUUGGUAAAAGUGGUCGUAUUAGAACCACGAGACUCAAGGAAUGCUUCAUACCUUUUUAUUUAUCAACAAAAUUCCUUAUCCGAUCUUUUUUUUUUGCAGAUAAAAAAUAAAGGGUAAUUUUUUUUUUGAUUAGAGAUUCAAAAAGAUGAUUUGGAACACCGUAACUCAAUUUCAAGUGGCGCUCUAUUCAAUAAAAUUAAUAUCUAUUCAUUAUUGUCACUAAAAUUGAAAAAAAACUUGUUCGAACCUUGCAUUUCGACCCAAAAAGAGGGUGCAACAUCUUUGGUAACUCUGCUGGGGACAACCAAAAUUCGAGUUUUAUGAUAUUAAAUUUUACAUGCUUUCAUUAUUUUGGAUAUGUUAUGUUUUGGGGUCGAAUAUGUUAUUUGUUGCUCAUUUAUCGCUUUGAUAUUGUUGAACUAUAUCAUAAACUGUCUUCUCUUGUGCACUCCUUCUAGGUCUUUGAAAUAUAGGGUAGAAGGAAUGCAGUUUGGCAUCCUACUUUUAUUUUGAGAUAAAGUCAAAAGUGUCUUGGCACUUGGUGAAGGAUUAUUAGUCACACAUAUUAAGCAAGAUUGGAUCAGCAACGAAGACGAAUAGCACUGCUACCAAACAAGUUACCCCUCCCUGACUCGAGGUGUUCACUCGAGUAAGCCAGUUUAGACACCUCUCUAUCAAGUUACAUCUAGUAGAACUGAAUUCCAUAUGUAGCUAUCCCUAUUAAUCUUCACAUUAUCUGCAUCAUGUGCAUUUGACUUAGCGGGACUCGACAUACGGGUCGGGUCUAUCUAAGACAAGUAGCCUAUUAAAGACCAACUUGUGCCACUACAAAAAAUGGGUCAAAUUGCGGGGGUUAAUUUUACAGUAAAACCCCCGCAAAUUUAGAUUCCGGUGGUUUCCAAAACCCACUACAAUACGAGCCGUCACAAUCAAUUUGCAGCAGUUUUUUUUUACUGCCUUAAUUUGCGGCGGUCAACCCCUGUUUCUUCAAAUUUAAUUCUUUUUAGAGAUAAUACCCAAUUACCCCCUGAACUAUACCCAAAAAAGGUAUGACACACCUCAACUUAAAGGGGAUCCUAUUACCCCUGAACUAAUUAAAAGUAUAAUUUUGAUACCCUUAGUGCCUACGUGAUACAUACAUGGCACAAUACACUGAAGUGUCCACGUAGGCAAACGUGAGUGCCACGUAUGUGCCAUGUAGGCACCACGUAGGCAUUAAGAGUGUCAAAAUUACACUUUUAAUUAGUUCAAGGGUAAUAAGACCUCCUUUAAGUUGAGGUUUGUCAUAACCUUUUUGGAUAUAGUUCAGAGGGACAAUUGGGUACUUUCUCUUCUUUUUACAAUAAAUUUUUAUUCAAGAAUUGCAGGGGUUUAAAACCUCCGCAAUUAUUCUUUUUUUUUUUAAAAUUUAAUGAGGCCCAUCAAUUUUCAAUAACUAAUUAUAGAUUCUAAUUUUAGCUCAAAUUUGAUUGUUCCUUUAGGCAUAACCUACAAUCCAAAAUUUGUUCAAUUCAUAUUAUCAUUAACACACCUUACUAGUUAAACAUUAUAAUUGACAAAUGACACUUUGGUAAAAUGACAUUAUAAUUAAACAAUACAGCGAAUCCACGACUCU